rnacentral:rRNA from 1 species
GGACGGGUGAGUAACGCGUGGGUAACCUACCCCAAAGUCCGGGAUAACAGCGGGAAACCGCUGCUAAUACCGGAUGCCUUUACCUUGGGGCAUCUUGAGGUAAAGAAAGGUAACGCUUUGGGAUGGGCCCGCGUCCCAUUAGCUAGUUGGUGAGGUAACGGCUCACCAAGGCGACGAUGGGUAGCCGGCCUGAGAGGGUGGACGGCCACACUGGGACUGAGACACGGCCCAGACUCCUACGGGAGGCAGCAGUAGGGAAUAUUGCGCAAUGGACGGAAGUCUGACGCAGCGACGCCGCGUGAGCGAUGAAGGUCUUCGGAUCGUAAAGCUCUGUCCUUGGGGAAGAAGGUCUUCGGACUUGACGGUACCCAAGAAGAAAGCCCCGGCUAACUACGUGCCACCAGCCGCGGUAAUACGUAGGGGGCGAGCGUUGUCCGGAAUUACUGGGCGUAAAG